GCUGUAUGCGAUUCGUCUGGAUUUGAACCUGCUGCAGGUUCGGGUUGAGCGAAGCGACACAGCGUUGCUUUAGCAACGACCCAAAGGGCGAGCAGAGCGAGUCAUCCUGCACGACCCACCA
rnacentral:sRNA from 1 species